UGGGGAAUUUUGGACAAUGGACGCAAGUCUGAUCCAGCCAUGCCGCGUGCGGGAAGAAGGCCUUCGGGUUGUAAACCGCUUUAGUCAGGGAAGAAACGAGUUUCUCUAAUACAGAGACUUAAUGACGGUACCUGAAGAAUAAGCACCGGCUAACUACGUGCCAGCAGCCGCGGUAAUACGUAGGGUGCAAGCGUUAAUCGGAAUUACUGGGCGUAAAGCGUGCGCAGGCGGUUAUAUAAGACAGAUGUGAAAUCCCCGGGCUCAACCUGGGAACUGCAUUUGUGACUGUAUAGCUAGAGUACGGCAGAGGGGGAUGGAAUUCCGCGUGUAGCAGUGAAAUGCGUAGAUAUGCGGAGGAACACCUAUGGCGAAGGCAAUCCCCUGGGCCUGUACUGACGCUCAUGCACGAAAGCGUGGGGAGCAAACA
rnacentral:rRNA from 1 species